GCCUUCUGCUCCGGCCGUGCGCGCCGCUCACUUGCGCGGCUCCCCUCGGCCCCGCGCGCCUCUCUUUGUCUCGCUGGUCUCUGCCUCCCGCCCGUCCUCCCGGGGCGGCCGCCUCCGUCUCCUCGUUGCCUUCCGCCGCUACGUCUCUGAUUCCCUGUCUCUCGCUCUCUGGGUGUCUGGCUGUCUGUGGCACUUCCCGUCUCUGGCUCGUGCCAUCUGGCACCUUUUGCUUCUCUCCUCGAAUCUGCCUCCGUGACCCCCUACCCCCCUUUGCUGUGGCCUCUCAGCUUCUCUCUCGAUCGCCAGCUCCUUGCUGGCCUGGGUGCCUCUGUGACCUCCCACAGCCUUCCCCUCGACCUCACUGGCCUUCGCCACAACUCGGAGGCCUGGGGCAGGGCCCUCUGGCCUCCCAGGCCGGCCUCCACCCCCUCAGCCUGCCUCCACACUGCUCCCCUUCUCAUCCCUGCUCUGGCCCCUCGGCAUAUGGAUCCUGCCACGUACCAGAUGCUUCGUGCCCGUGCAGAUUUCUGGAGGAAGAGCAUUCCUGACAAAGGAGCAGCAAGGGCAAAGUCCCUGACGAGAGCCUGUCUGGCAUGUUGGAGGGACAGCUAUGAUGCAGCCCAAGCAGAGACAGUAAGAAAAGAGAAUAGGUGACGGGCCUGAGAGGUAAUGGGAGCCAGACCACAGCCUACCGAGGGACUGUGCAGGGACUAAUGAGUCACAGGGAGGCCUGGCUUUCAUGCUGAGUAAGAUGGGGAGUCACUGGAGGGUUUUGAGCAGGAGAAUGACAUGAGCCACCUUGUACUUACACAGAAAAUUCUUACUGCUUUGUUGAGACUAGAUUGAGAACACAAGGGCAGGGAGCCCUGUUAGCUGCCUCCUGCAGCACCAGGUAAGAGAUGAGAGUGGCCUGGACCAUAGGGGUGACAGCGGAGGUGGUGACGAGUAGGCACAUUCUGGAUAUAUCUCUUGCAGAGAGAGCCAAGAACUUUGCUGAUGGGCCAGAUGGAGGCGGUGAGAGAGAGUAUGGAGGCAGGAGGAGGCCAGGGAUCCGGCCCGAGUGACCAAAACCGUGGAGUCAGCAUAAAUUGACAUGGAGACAAACCUCAGCAGGGGCCGGUUUUUGGAGGGGAUCAGUUUGGGACCCGGUAGGUUUGAGACGCCUCCAGGCAGAGGUGUCGGGUAGUCAGAUGGAUACACAGUGCUGGAGUUCAUUAGUGAAGAUCAGGCUGGAGACACAAGCUUGGGGGUCAUCGGUGACACUGAAUCAGAUCCCUGAGGAAUGAGCACAGUAAACAGAGGACAUCCAAUGACAAAGUCCGGCAUUUCAAUAUUUAGACGUUGUGGAGUGGCAACAAAA
rnacentral:lncRNA from 1 species